rnacentral:tRNA from 1 species
CAGUAUAUAGCUUAAUUGGUUGAGCAUGGUCUUGAUAAGACUAAGGUUAUGGGUUCAAGCCCUAUUUUACUGA